rnacentral:lncRNA from 1 species
ACAGCUGAACAAGUCUACUCCUUUCUUUUUUUGUUUCAGCUUACUCCUUAUAACCUUCAUACUUCCGUUCCUUGCUUGCCUACAGGUUUGACUUCUUAUGCUUCCUGUAGGAAAAGCCUUUUUUCAGGUAGACUUCUUAUAAGAGUCAGAAGUCGAAGUCCAGUUACUGCUGCAGUUUUACAACAGUGUUUGGAAUGUUUGCAGCCAUAUAAGCAACGAGUUUCUUCUUGGUGUGUGGUUUCAGCACAGCUGUGGUCAUCCACUUGCAAGGUCUUCUGA